rnacentral:sRNA from 1 species
CUACCUCUAUGAUUCUCUCCAGCUGACAGAGAACUCCUUUACAAGAAAGAAAAAUCUUCAUAGAAAGGUACUUAAACUUCACCCUUGUUUAGCCCCUAUUAAGGUUGCUUUGGAUGUAGGAAGAGGCCCCACAUUGGAACUAAGACAGAGACUCCUUCAGCAGUCAUCAUUUCUGUCUGGGUGAUUGAGACCCAGCCCAAACCUGAAUGCGGACACUAAAAAGAUUUAAAGACUUUGAGAGUCCCCCAGCUUUCUGACCCUGGCUUUUGUG